rnacentral:ncRNA from 1 species
CACAGGUUUGGUCCCAGCCUUCCUAUUGACCCUUAAUAAACUUACACAUGCAAGCAUCCACACCCCAGUGAAAAUGCCCUCCAAGUUAACUAAGACUAAGAGGAGCUGGUAUCAAGCACACAUCCGUAGCUCACGACACCUUGCAUAGCCACACCCCCACGGGAGACAGCAGUGAUAAAAAUUAAGCCAUAAACGAAAGUUUGACUAAGCCAUAUUGAUCAGGGUUGGUAAAUUUCGUGCCAGCCGCCGCGGUCAUACGAUUAACCCAAGUUAAUAGGCAUACGGCGUAAAGCGUGUUAAAGCACUAUACCAAAUAAAGUUAAAUUCCAAUUAAGCUGUAAAAAGCCAUAAUUGCAACAAAAAUAAACAACGAAAGUAACUUUACAGCCGCUGAAACACGAUAGCUAGGACCCAAACUGGGAUUAGAUACCCCACUAUGCCUAGCCUUAAACACAAAUAGUUAUGUAAACAAAACUAUUCGCCAGAGUACUACCGGCAAUAGCUUAAAACUCAAAGGACUUGGCGGUGCUUUAUACCCUUCUAGAGGAGCCUGUUCUAUAAUCGAUAAACCCCGAUAAACCUCACCAUUCCUUGCUACUACAGUCUAUAUACCGCCAUCUUCAGCAAACCCUAAAAAGGUACAAAAGUAAGCACAAUCAUAAUACAUAAAAACGUUAGGUCAAGGUGUAACCUAUGGAACGGAAAGAAAUGGGCUACAUUUUCUAAUCUAAGAAAAUCCAACACGAAAGUUAUUAUGAAACUAAUAACCAAAGGAGGAUUUAGCAGUAAACUAAGAAUAGAGUGCUUAGUUGAAUUAGGCCAUGAAGCACGCACACACCGCCCGUCACCCUCCUCAAGUAGGUACAAUACACUCAAACUUAUUUACACGUAUUAAUCAUAUGAGAGGAGAUAAGUCGUAACAAGGUAAGCAUACUGGAAAGUGUGCUUGGAUAAAU